ACCUAGCAUGGAUGUUAAGUCCUCAAACCUGGGGAAAGGUUUUUUCACUUCAGUUAAUGUGGUGUUCGCCUGGUCGAAGUUAUCACGUAUCUGCUUUAUAAGCUCUUCUAGUCUCUCUAACCAGUUUCUCAAUUCUGGAAUCCUUUUUUUCUGAUUUUCAGCAUCAUUUUCCAAUCGCACACUUGUGUUCUUCGACGUUGCUGCAUUCACGCCAAGUCCCUUGCUC